rnacentral:rRNA from 1 species
GAUGAACGCUAGCGACAGGCUUAACACAUGCAAGUCGAGGGGCAGCGGGGAUUUAGCUUGCCAAAUCUGUCGGCGACCGGCGCACGGGUGCGUAACGCGUAUGCAAACUACCUAUCAGUAAGGGAUAGUCCAUCGAAAGAUGGAUUAAUAACUGAUAAAGCAGGGGUCCCGCAUGGGAAUAUCUGCUAAAGAUUAAUCGUUGGUAGAUGGGCAUGCGUUCCAGUAGUUAGUUGGUGAGGUAACGGCUCACCAAGACAUCGAUGGAUAGGGGUUCUGAGAGGAAGGUCCCCCACACUGGUACUGAGACACGGUCCAAACUCCUACGGGAGGCAGCAGUGGGGAAUAUUGCACAAUGGGUGCAAGCCUGAUGCAGCAACGCCGCGUGAGCGAAGAAGGCCUUUGGGUCGUAAAGCUCUGUCCUUGGGGAAGAAACAAAUGACGGUACCCUUGGAGGAAGCCCCGGCUAACUACGUGCCAGCCGCC